UGUAACAGAAAAUGAAAAUACUUCAAAUUGUACUUGUAUGUACUUGAGUCAAUGCAGAUACACCAAUUACAAUUAGCUGCUUAGCUGACAUUCAGAUAUUUGAAAUCCUCCAGUCUUAUUGUUGCUUUAUUCUGUUCACAAUUAAUACCAAUACAUAAUGAUAUAAGCAAUUAAACACCUUGUUGACUGGUGGACACACCCAUCCUGUACUCUGAUUCCUAUUUCCGAUAUUCAUCAGCGACUUUAAAAGAAGCAGGACUAAAAUCAAAACAUCCACUUCCUGGAGAACAGUUUUUGAGGCAUUUUCAUGUUUUUAAUUUCCGAGUCAUUUACAUUUUGUCCCGUGUUGUAGUAGGCUACACUUUUCUGUUUUGUUUUUUUUCAAGACAGUGAUUUGUUCUUUUAUCUUUAUUCAAUACUAACACUUUUUUGUUGUUGUGUAUAAUACACAUAUUUUGAAAAUCCCAGAAAUAUUGAUUAGUUACCAAUAUGACCAGCUGUUCCAAAAAUCCAUCAACAUAUCCUUUUUUUUGGAAAGCACAGCUCCUCUCCCCUCUAUAUUAAGAUCGCUUUAUUUAUUGGGGGCAAAGUAACCUGAAUGUCACUGUUUGCGAUGUGACAUUCCAUCAGACAACCGGUCUGUUCAGAAAGGGGGAGGGGAAGACAUCUGAAGGGCAUCAACUAUCCCAGGUUGAAGUGAAAAAUCUGUGUGCAAAACUGGUAGACAGCGGAAAGCAGCCGAUAAAGUGGACUACAUACAGAAAGGAAGGUAAGACCAAACUGCAUCAAUGACGUUUCACUGGAUUGUAAUAGUUUUUUGUGUCCUGGUGUCCAUGGCACUGGUGGUGUUAAUCCAGGUCCAACAAGAACUGAUAAACAUGAUGAACAUUAAGAAUGAAACGGUUUCAAUGACAUUAAAGAAACUAAAUAAACAACUUUCAAAUUUAGACAAGGUAAAAGUUGAGUUGGUCCAGCUAGCUGUUUUGCUAGAAAAAGAGACAAAGGAUCUUGAGGGGCAACCUGUUCCUGAUUUCAAUAAGCAGAAACAACAAAUUGACGCCUGUCAAGCAGAAAAGAAAACAAAAGCUGAUGAGCUGGCAAGCAUUGAGCAGAAACACGCAGAGCUUGCAGCAAAAUUAAAAUCAGAGUCUGGUGCCUGGGAGCAAGAGAUUCAAAGCCUGAAAGCACGGAUUUCGGGGUACAGGCCAAUAUGUGAUCAUGUGAAGAAUAUCAUAAUGGCUGUGAAAUUAUGUGGCACCAAAGAUAAACCUGUCGAUAAAGGAGAGAAGGCAUCUCAGAUCUCCAUAACGCCAGUAAUUCACAAUUGAUCCAAGUGUUAGAUUUCAGAUGUCAUUUGUGUCAUUCCUGUUACUGCUAUAUAAAAUGGUGAUGUGUUUUUGAGCUCAAAUGUAUCAAACUACAAGUACAUUGAUAAUACUAAUUUUCAGUUGCAGAGUAUAAAGAAUGAAUAAUUGGAGUUUAUGAAUAUCUACUAAGUUGAUGGUGAACUGUUAUGGCAGGGCUCAUUGUACUGUUUGUAAAUCGUGUAAGUUACUGUACUUGACAUACCAUAUAUUUAAAUUGUUUUGCAGUGCCAGAUAUAAUAGUAUUUUUCUUGUUGUGGUUUGAUUGUGAUUGCUUUAUUGUGCAGACCUGAGCAAAACAAUAAAAUAAUGUCUUAUUUUUCUUAA